rfam:Papilio xuthus contig4403, whole genome shotgun sequence.
GGCCUAUUAGCUCAGUUGGUUAAAGCGUCGUGCUAAUAACGCGAUGGUCGCGAGUUCGAUCCCCUCAUGGGCCA